ncrna:unclassified sequences RAGATH-18 RNA
CCUAUUGAGUGUUAUAUCAAAUGAUAGUAGAAGUGAGAUUUACCUCACUUUGAGGUCAGACACGGUGAUGUAGGAA